UACAGAGGGGGCAAGCGUUGUUCGGAAUUACUGGGCGUAAAGCGCACGUAGGCGGACUGUUAAGUCGGGGGUGAAAUCCUGGGGCUCAACCUCAGAAUUGCCUCCGAUACUGGCAGUCUCGAGUGCGGGAGAGAUGAGUGGAAUUCCCAGUGUAGAGGUGAAAUUCGUAGAUAUUGGGAAGAACACCAGUGGCGAAGGCGGCUCACUGGCCCGUAACUGACGCUGAGGUGCGAAAGCGUGGGGAGCAAACAGG
rnacentral:rRNA from 1 species